GAAGUCUGACGGAGCACGCCGCGUGAGUGAUGAAGGUUUUCGGAUCGUAAAACUCUGUUGUUAGGGAAGAACAAGUGUCGUUCGAAUAGGGCGGUACCUUGACGGUACCUAACCAGAAAGCCACGGCUAACUACGUGCCAGCAGCCGCGGUAAUACGUAGGUGGCAAGCGUUGUCCGGAAUUAUUGGGCGUAAAGCGCGCGCAGGCGGUUUCUUAAGUCUGAUGUGAAAUCUUGCGGCUCAACCGCGAGCGGCCAUUGGAAACUGGGAGACUUGAGUGCAGAAGAGGAGAGUGGAAUUCCACGUGUAGCGGUGAAAUGCGUAGAGAUGUGGAGGAACACCAGUGGCGAAGGCGACUCUCUGGUCUGUAACUGACGCUGAGGCGCGAAAGCGUGGGGAGCGAACAGGAUUAGAUACCCUGGUAGUCCACGCCGUAAACGAUGAGUGCUAAGUGUUAGAGGGUUUCCGCCCUUUAGUGCUGCAGCUAACGCAUUAAGCACUCCGCCUGGGGAGUACGGCCGCAAGGCUGAAACUCAAAGGAAUUGACGGGGGCCCGCACAAGCGGUGGAGCAUGUGGUUUAAUUCGAAGCAACGCGAAGAACCUUACCAGGUCUUGACAUCCUCUUGACCUCCCUAGAGAUAGGGAUUUCCCUUCGGGGACAAGAGUGACAGGUGGUGCAUGGUUGUCGUCAGCUCGUGUCGUGAGAUGUUGGGUUAAGUCCCGCAACGAGCGCAACCCUUGACCUUAGUUGCCAGCAUUCAGUUGGGCACUCUAAUGUGACUGCCGGUGACAAACCAGAAGAAGGUGGAGAUGACGUCAAAUCAUCAUGCCCCUUAUGACCUGGGCUACACACGUGCUACAAUGGAUGGUACAAAGGGCUGCAAGACCGCGAGGUUUAGCCUAUCCCAUAAAACCAUUCUCAGUUCAGAUUGUACGCUGCAACUCGCCUACGUGAAGCCGGAAUCGCUAGUAAUCGC
rnacentral:rRNA from 1 species